UCUGUCAAUGAUCUCUUGGCAUGCUGUGGUUUUUUGUGUGGAGAUGGUUGUAAUGGAGGGGAUCCUAUCUAUGCAUGGAGAUACUUUGUCCACCAUGGUGUUGUCACAGAAGAGUGUGACCCAUACUUCGAUGAUAUUGGCUGUUCCCACCCGGGGUGUACCCCUGAAUUUCCUACUCCAAAGUGUGUAAGAAAGUGCAUCAACAAGAACCAGCUCUGGAGACGGUCAAAGCAUUACGGUGUCAAUGCAUAUA
rnacentral:misc_RNA from 1 species